GAAAAGGUGACGGCUCAGAGGACGUUCACGCUCAGUGACGUCUUCAAUAGCUCCAUCAGGGCCAGAUCCUACAACAUGCGCUGGAUCUCAGACCAUGAGUAUCUGCAUCAAAAAGACGGUUCAGUCUUCCUUCACAACCUGAUUACAGGAAACAACUCAGAAUUCCUGAGCAGCAUCACAUUUGAUCAAGUGGCUGCCUAUGACUAUGUAGUGUCUGCUGAUCAAAAAUAUGUUGCUUUCAAGAGCAAUUGGACUAAGGUAAUGUCUUGUGAUAUUUAAU